CAUGCAAGUCGAACGGAGAUUACAGGCGGAAGUUUUCGGAUGGAAGCUUGUAAACUUAGUGGCGGACGGGUGAGUAACACGUGAGCAACCUGCCUAUCAGAGGGGGAUAACGAUUGGAAACGAUCGCUAAUACCGCAUGACAUAGCGGAACCGCAUGGUUUUGCUAUCAAAGAUUUUAUCGCUGAUAGAUGGGCUCGCGUCCGAUUAGAUAGUUGGUGGGGUAACGGCCUACCAAGUCGACGAUCGGUAGCCGGACUGAGAGGUCGAACGGCCACAUUGGGACUGAGACACGGCCCAGACUCCUACGGGAGGCAGCAGUGGGGGAUAUUGCACAAUGGGGGAAACCCUGAUGCAGCGACGCCGCGUGAGGGAAGACGGUCCUCUGGAUUGUAAACCUCUGUCUUCGGGGACGAAACGAGACGGUACCCGAGGAGGAAGCCACGGCUAACUACGUGCCAGCAGCCGCGGUAAUACGUAGGUGGCAAGCGUUGUCCGGAAUUACUGGGUGUAAAGGGAGCGUAGGCGGGCAGGCAAGUCAGGCGUGAAAUAUAUCGGCUCAACCGGUAACGGCGCUUGAAACUGCAGGUCUUGAGUGAAGUAGAGGUUGGCGGAAUUCCUAGUGUAGCGGUGAAAUGCGUAGAUAUUAGGAGGAACACCAGUGGCGAAGGCGGCCAACUGGGCUUUUACUGACGCUGAGGCUCGAAAGUGUGGGGAGCAAACAGGAUUAGAUACCCUGGUAGUCCACACCGUAAACGAUGAUUACUAGGUGUGGGGGGACUGACCCCUUCCGUGCCGGAGUUAACACAAUAAGUAAUCCACCUGGGGAGUACGGCCGCAAGGUUGAAACUCAA
rnacentral:rRNA from 1 species